CGGCUCAGUAACACGUGGAUAACCUACCCUUGAGACGGGGAUAAACCCGGGAAACUGGGUAUAAUACCCGAUAGAUCUCGACUGCUGGAAUGCAUCGAGCUUAAAAGCUCCGGCGCUCAAGGAUGGGUCUGCGGCCUAUCAGGUAGUAGUGGGUGUAGCGUACCUACUAGCCUACGACGGGUACGGGUUGUGAGAGCAAGAGCCCGGAGAUGGAUUCUGAGACACGAAUCCAGGCCCUACGGGGUGCAGCAGGCGCGAAAACUUUACAAUGCUGGAAACAGCGAUAAGGGGACCUCGAGUGCCAGGUUACAAAUCUGGCUGUCGUGAUGCCUAAAAAGCAUUGCAUAGCAAGGGCCGGGCAAGACCGGUGCCAGCCGCCGCGGUAACACCGGCGGCUCGAGUGGUAACCGUUAUUAUUGGGUCUAAAGGGUCUGUAGCCGGCCGGAUAAGUCUCUUGGGAAAUCUGGCAGCUUAACUGUCAGGCUUUCAGGAGAUACUGUCUGGCUCGAGGCCGGGAGAGGUGAGAGGUACUUCAGGGGUAGGGGUGAAAUCUUGUAAUCCUUGAAGGACCACCAGUGGCGAAGGCGUCUCACCAGAACGGACCUGACGGCAAGGGACGAAAGCUAGGGGCACGAGCCGGA
rnacentral:rRNA from 1 species